AUACGUAGGUGACAAGCGUUAUCCGGAUUUACUGGGCGUAAAGGGCGUGUAGGCGGUCUUGCAAGUCAGAAGUGAAAGCUCGGGGCUCAACCCCGGAACUGCUUUGGAAACUGUCGAACUGGAGUGCAGGAGAGGUAAGCGGAAUUCCUAGUGUAGCGGUGAAAUGCGUAGAUAUUAGGAGGAACACCAGAGGCGAAGGUGGCUUACUGGACUGUAACUGACGUUGAGGCUCGAAGGCGUGGGGAGCAAACAGGAUUAGAUACCCUGGUAGUCCACGCGGUAAACGAUGAUCACUAGGUGUUGGCACGCAUAGCGUGUCGGUGCCGCAGCAAACGCAAUAAGUGAUCCACCUGGGGAGUACGUUCGCAAGAAUGAAACUCAAAGGAAUUGGCGGGG
rnacentral:rRNA from 1 species